UACGUUAUCAACAAAGCUGGACGAAGCCAUACUAUCGCAGUGGAACGACCUGUUCUUUGUAGCGAUUAUUAAGUGUUUACACUGCUUAAAGUCUUUUAAAGGCAAUAUGCCAGGUCCCAUAGUUCAGUGCGGGACUGCCACAACGGUACCCGUGGGCUAAAGAAGUGGAUGGAAGAGUUUUGCCCUAUUCACGAGUGCAAUAAAGGAACCUCGCGCUGUCUUAGUGACCCGCCUUAUGUACUCGUCACAUUUCCUACUGAAAGAAAAGAUCCAGAACGUCGUGCCGAAUGGAUUAAAUUAGGGAGGGCCCCCAGACAUCCAACACAAACCAAAUCUCACUCUAAGGUCUGGUCACAAGUUGGCAGCCCUGUGUUUCUACCAGCAGACACUGAAAGGACUCUGAUAGUUUGCUUCAGCUCCAGAGACGGCAGGUGGGACGAGUCAACGGAGGCCUGGUGGACGAAGGCAUGCAGCUGAGUACAAUCCAGAAAACAACAGAGGAGGAGUGCAGCAGCCCAGGACCAGAACAAACAGAGUAGCAUCACCAAAGAACAACAGACUCUUCACAACCUGCUCAAACUCUUGGUACAGGACCUCACCACACGGAUCAAGAAGGUUUCCGUCUCAUUUCUACUCUGAAGCUCACCUUCUCCUGCUCAAACUGCUGACAAAUGUUUCUGCUGCUCUAAAGUCUGGUCUCCAGAACUUCCUAAAAACUCUCAAAGGCUCUUCUGCUGCAGGUUGCUUUGUAGAACUGUUCCAGAAAACCUCACUAAACCACAUGGAGGGGCCUCAAGAUAGUCGUCCAAAUGAAACCAUACAAAAACCAAACUAGCACAACCCAAACGCUAAAGUCUCCUGCAGCCUACCAGAGAACCUCUGAGAACAGAGAAUCAGUACAGGAACUCUUACCUUCUGGACAACCAACGUUGGUUCACAAACAAGAAUACAGAAUGUGUCUGACCAAAAACUUCUAAAGACUCACUACAGGCAAGAUAAUGACACAACUCAGCUGUACCAAAUCCACUAAUCACUGCACACAUUAGCACCAUGUGCUAACUGUGGCUAAAGAACCACCUUUACCAAGACAACUAUCCAGUACAAAGUCCUAAAACACACCAAGAAACACAUUAAAGACAAUUUUACUGCUGGAAGCUGCAAGCCAACGCCUAAAGAACAAACUAAAGCAAUGGAGCUAAACCCGGUUCAAUGGUGCAGAGAAGCAGAGGAAAUGUCUGACUGCAGAAAAACAAAGCAGGAAGACACUGAGCUGCUCAGGUGUUCCUGAUAACACCAAGCAGCCACCUGGACAGCCAAUAGGAACACAGCUUACUGGAAGUCCAGAGGGCUGGGUUAGUGAAGGAAAUUUAGUUUAAAGUUGAGGCAGAAAGUUAACAAAGAAAGUUGAAAACCAACUUCUGAUACCUGAAAUCUCUGAGUUUUCACACAAAGAACACCUGAACAUGUCAAACUGGUUUCAUAGUAGAACCAUCAUUGUAAAAACGUCAUAGUAUGAUGUGUUGCUCAAAAAACAUUAGGACCCGGCUGUCUAGGGUCGCCGAGGAGCAACACAAAAACAGGACAAACGCUGGUUUCCAGGGGGUUAGGCAGCUAUUUAUUUGAAAGAGUAAGUUUACAACAACACAACAUGUGAGCAGAAAAAUCACAAAGUCUGUCUUUAGUUCAGCUGAAAAUAUUAGUUUUUGUCUUUUUUAUUGAUCAAACUUUUCAGGAAGUAGAUGAAGAAUAAUUAAAGCUCUCAUGUAGAAGUCCAACUUAUUUUGGAUCCUUGUGGAGAGUUUAAUCUUAGAGUUUGUACAGCUGUUGAGUUUUUAGAGUCACAUGGAUUGUUUUGACAUUUAAUAACUGAGUCCUGAAAUAAAAUUACAGUUAUGGAUUUCUGUCAUUUAGUCUGGACUAAACAAAUAACAGCAGCAUAAAUCUCAAACAUCAUUAUGAGGAGUCUGGAUUGAGGUUUCUCACUUGAUAAUGAUCAAAACAUGAAAUUUAGGUUGGUUUAAAGGAAUAUUC
ensembl:lncRNA